rnacentral:rRNA from 1 species
AGUACGGGUGAGUAACGCGUGGGAACAUACCCUUUCCUGCGGAAUAGCUCCGGGAAACUGGAAUUAAUACCGCAUACGCCCUACGGGGGAAAGAUUUAUCGGGGAAGGAUUGGCCCGCGUUGGAUUAGCUAGUUGGUGGGGUAAAGGCCUACCAAGGCGACGAUCCAUAGCUGGUCUGAGAGGAUGAUCAGCCACAUUGGGACUGAGACACGGUCCAAAUUUAUACGGGAGGCAGCAGUGGGGAAUAUUGGACAAUGGGCGCA